AGGACGAACGCUGGCGGCGUGCUUAACACAUGCAAGUCGAGCGGAAAGGCCUUUCGGGGUACUCGAGCGGCGAACGGGUGAGUAACACGUGAGUAAUCUGCCCAUCGCUUCAGGAUAGCCAUCGGAAACGGUGAUUAAUACUGGAUAUGACAUUCCUUCGCAUGUUGGGGUGUGGAAAGUUUUUUCGGCGGUGGAUGUGCUCGCGGCCUAUCAGCUUGUUGGUGGGGUAAUGGCCUACCAAGGCUUUGACGGGUAGCCGGCCUGAGAGGGUGACCGGCCACACUGGGACUGAGACACGGCCCAGACUCCUACGGGAGCAGCAGUGGGGAAUAUUGGACAAUGGGCGGAAGCCUGAUCCGAGCAACGCUGCGUGAGGGAUGACGGCCUUCGGGUUGUAAACCUCUUUCAGCAACAGACGAAGUUUUGUCUUUUUUGGGUGUAAGGUUGACGGUAUGUGCAGAAGAAGGACGGCCAACUACGUGCAGCAGCCGACG
rnacentral:rRNA from 1 species